GACGAACGCUGGCGGCGUGCUUAACACAUGCAAGUCGAACGGAAAGGCCCUGCUUUUGUGGUUUGCUCGAGUGGCGAACGGGUGAGUAACACGUGAGUAACCUGCCCUUGACUUUGGGAUAACUUCAGGAAACUGGGGCUAAUACCGGAUAGGAGCUCCUGCUGCAUGGUGGGGGUUGGAACGUUUCGGCGGUUGGGGAUGGACUCGCGGCUUAUCAGCUUGUUGGUGGGGUAGUGGCUUACCAAGGCUUUGACGGGUAGCCGGCCUGAGAGGGUGACCGGCCACAUUGGGACUGAGAUACGGCCCAGACUCCUACGGGAGGCAGCAGUGGGGAAUAUUGCACAAUGGGCGGAAGCCUGAUGCAGCAACGCCGCGUGCGGGAUGACGGCCUUCGGGUUGUAAACCGCUUUCGCCUGUGACGAAGCGUGAGUGACGGUAAUGGGUAAAGAAGCACCGGCUAACUACGU
rnacentral:rRNA from 1 species